ensembl:miRNA
UAGUCCACGAGCAGUCUGUGACUGCUUGCACUGAGUCACAGUCUGUUCGUGGACAGC